GUCUACAGCCAUGCUACCCUGAACAAGCCCAAUCUCAUCUGAUCUCGGAAGCUAACUAGGGUCGGGCCUGGUUAGUAGUUGAAUGGGAGACCACCUAGGAAGACCAGGUGCUAUAGGCA
rnacentral:rRNA from 1 species